rnacentral:misc_RNA from 1 species
GAAAUGCGAUACGUAAUGUGAAUUGCAGAAUUCAGUGAAUCAUCGAGUCUUUGAACGCACAUUGCGCCCCCUGGUAUUCCGGGGGGCAUGCCUGUCCGAGCGUCAUUGCUGCCCUCAAGCACGGCUUGUGUGUUGGGCCCCCGUCCCCCCCCCAAGGGGGCGGGCCCGAAAGGCAGCGGCGGCACCGUGUCCGGUCCUCGAGCGUAUGGGAAGCAACUUUUUGUCACCCGCUCCUGUAGGUCCGGCCGGCGGCCUGCCCAACCCCAACCUUUUUUUCAACCAGGUUGACCUCGGAUCAGGUAGGGAUACCCGCUGAACUUAAGC